rfam:Triticum aestivum genome assembly, contig: Triticum_aestivum_CS42_TGACv1_scaffold_622043_7DS
CAGUAACUCCCUCCGCCCCGAAUUACUUGUCGCACAAAUGGAUAGAAAUGGAUGAAUCUAGAACUAAAAAUACGUUUAGACAUUCAUUUCUGCGACAAGUAAUUCCGGACGGAGGGAGUAUAAU